AUCUGGCAGUAGACACACCAUGAUCAGGCAGGGUGAGGCUCAUUCCUUGCAUUUUGGGUGUGCUGAGCCCUUUGAUUUCUCCAGAUGCAGGAAACUCAACUGCAUGACUUUUGGUAGCAGGGAACUGUGUUUUUUCUUUUCUUUU
ensembl:snRNA U1 U1 spliceosomal RNA